rnacentral:rRNA from 1 species
GAUGAACGCUGGCGGCGUGCCUAAUACAUGCAAGUCGAGCGAACAGACGAGGAGCUUGCUCCUCUGACGUUAGCGGCGGACGGGUGAGUAACACGUGGAUAACCUGCCUAUAAGACUGGGAUAACUUCGGGAAACCGGAGCUAAUACCGGAUAACAUGUUGAACCGCAUGGUUCAACAGUGAAAGACGGUCUUGCUGUCACUUCUAGAUGGAUCCGCGCCGCAUUAGCUAGUUGGUAAGGUAACGGCUUACCAAGGCAACGAUGCGUAGCCGACCUGAGAGGAUGAUAGGCGACACUGGAACUGAGACACGGUCCAGACUCCUACGGGAGGCAGCAGUGGGGAAUCUUCCGCAAAGGGCGAAAGCCUGACGGAGCAACGCCGCGUGAGUGAAGAAGGUCUUCGGAUCGUAAAACUCUGUUAUUAGGGAAGAACAAAUGUGUAAGUAACUAUGCACGUCUUGACGGUACCUAAUCAGAAAGCCACGGCUAACUACGUG